rnacentral:RNase_P_RNA from 2 species
ACCGCAGGCCGCCUUAUCGUCGUCCCGAUUCAUCGGGAGGGAGGAAAGUCCGGACACCACAGAGAAGCAUAGCGGGUAACGCCCGUCGGUUCAAGAAAUUGGAUUAGGACAAGUGCAACAGAAAGUAUGUACAGGUAAUGCUGUAGUGAAACCAGGUAAACUCUAUGCGGUGAAAUUUCAAGUAUAUCGGCAUUUAAGGGUUCUCGCCCGUUGUCGAAGGGUAGAAAGAUUGAUCCCGAUAGUAAUAUUGGGACUAGAUAAAUGAUAAGGCUCCGAUUUAUCGGGGACAGAAUCCGGCUUACAGGUCUGCUUUUUUU